GNAAUUAUUGGGCGUAAAGAGNUCGUAGGCGGCUGGUCGCGUCUGUCGUGAANUCCUCUGGCUUAACUGGGGGCUUGCGGUGGGUACGGGCCGGCUUGAGUGCGGUAGGGGAGACUGGAACUCCUGGUGUAGCGGUGGAAUGCGCAGAUAUCAGGAAGAACACCGGUGGCGAAGGCGGGUCUCUGGNCCGUUACUGACGCUGAGGAGCGAAAGCGUGGGGAGCGAACAGGAUUAGAUACCCUGGUAGCCCACGCCGUAAACGUUGGGCACUAGGUGUGGGGGGCCUUUUCCGGGUCUUCCGCGCCGUAGCUAACGCAUUAAGUGCCCCGCCUGGGGAGUACGGCCGCAAGGCUAAAACUCAAAGGAAUUGACGGGGGCCCGCACAAGCGGCGGAGCAUGCGGAUUAAUUCGAUGCAACGCGAAGAACCUUACCAAGGCUUGACAUGUGCCGGUCGGCUCCGGAGACGGGGCUUCCUCCUUGUGGGGCCGGUUCACAGGUGGUGCAUGGUUGUCGUCAGCUCGUGUCGUGAGAUGUUGGGUUAAGUCCCGCAACGAGCGCAACCCUUGUCCCGUGUUGCCAGCACGUUGUGGUGGGGACUCGCGGGAGACUGCCGGGGUCAACUCGGAGGAAGGUGGGGAUGACGUCAAAUCAUCAUGCCCCUUAUGUCUUGGGCUUCACGCAUGCUACAAUGGCCGGUACAGAGGGCUGCGAUACCGUGAGGUGGAGCGAAUCCCUUAAAGCCGGUCUCAGUUCGGAUCGGUGUCUGCAACUCGACACCGUGAAGUUGGAGUCGCUAGUAAUCGCAGAUCAGCAACGCUGCGGUGAAUACGUUCUCGGGCCUUGUACACACCGCCCGUCACGUCAUGAAAGUCGGCAACACCCG
rnacentral:rRNA from 1 species